CUUUUCCGCCGGCGACCGGCGCACGGGUGCGCACCGCGUAUGGAACCUACCUUGUACAGGGGAAUAGCCCAGGGAAACUUGGAUUAAUGCCCCGUAGCACCGUAUUUCGGCAUCGUUAUACGGUUAAAGUCUUCGGGCGGUACAAGAUGGCCAUGCGUCCCAUUAGCUAGUUGGUAAGGUAACGGCUUACCAAGGCUACGAUGGGUAGGGGCCCUGAGAGGGGGAUCCCCCACACUGGUACUGAGACACGGACCAGACUCCUACGGGAGGCAGCAGUGAGGAAUAUUGGACAAUGGAGGGGACUCUGAUCCAGCCAUGCCGCGUGCAGGAAGAAUGCCCUAUGGGUAGUAAACUGCUUUUAUACGGGAAGAAAAAGAGCUACGUGUAGCUUACUGACGGUACCGUAAGAAUAAGGACCGGCUAACUCCGUGCCAGCAGCCGCGGUAAUACGGAGGGUCCGAGCGUUAUCCGGAAUUAUUGGGUUUAAAGGGUCCGUAGGCGGGCCGAUAAGUCAGGGGUGAAAGUCUGCCGCUCAACGGUAGAACUGCCUUUGAUACUGUCGGUCUUGAGUUAUAGUGAAGUUGCCGGAAUAUGUAGUGUAGCGGUGAAAUGCAUAGAUAUUACAUAGAACACCGAUUGCGAAGGCAGGUGACUAACUAUCGACUGACGCUGAUGGACGAAAGCGUGGGGAGCGAACAGGAUUAGAUACCCUGGUAGUCCACGCCGUAAACGAUGGAUACUAGCUGUCCGG
rnacentral:rRNA from 1 species